AUUGAACGCUGGCGGCAGGCCUAACACAUGCAAGUCGAACGAGUGGCGGACGGGUGAGUAAUGUCUGGGAAACUGCCCGAUGGAGGGGGAUAACUACUGGAAACGGUAGCUAAUACCGCAUACCAUCGGAUGUGCCCAGAUGGGAGUAACUUGUAGGUGAGGUAACGGCUCACCUAGGCGACGAGCCCUAGCUGGGCUGAGUGGAUGACCAGCCCAACUGGACCGGAGCCCCGGUCCAGACUCCUACGGGAGGCAGCAGUGGGUAAUAUGUCAGAAUGGGGGCAAGCCUGAGGCAGCCAUGCCGCGUUUAUGAAGAAGGCCUUCGGGUUGUAAAGUACUUUCAGCGGGGAGGCGUUACCCGCAGAAGAAGCACCGGCUAACUCCGUGCCAGCCGCCGCGGUAAUAC
rnacentral:rRNA from 1 species